AUUGAACGCUGGCGGCAGGCUUAACACAUGCAAGUCGAGCGGGGGAAGGUAGCUUGCUACCGGACCUAGCGGCGGACGGGUGAGUAAUGCUUAGGAAUCUGCCUAUUAGUGGGGGGCAACAUCUCGAAAGGGAUGCUAAUACCGCAUACGUCCUACGAGAGAAAGCAGGGGAUCUUCGGACCUUGCGCUAAUAGAUGAGCCUAAGUCGGAUUAGCUAGUUGGUGGGGUAAAGGCCUACCAAGGCGACGAUCUGUAGCGGGUCUGAGAGGCUGAGCCGCCACACAGGGACUGAGAAACGGCCCAGACUCCUACGGGAGGAAGCAGUGGGGAAUAUUGGACAAUGGGGGGAACCCUGAUCCAGCCAUGCCGCGUGUGUGAAGAAGGCCUUAUGGUUGUAAAGCACUUUAAGCGAGGAGGAGGCUACUUUAGUUAAUACCUAGAGAUAGUGGACGUUACUCGCAGAAUAAGCACCGGCUAACUCUGUGCCAGCCGCCGUAAAAC
rnacentral:rRNA from 1 species